AGACUGUGAUGUGGGCAUUUCCUUAAUAGCUCCUUGAACCUUUCCCAUGUCUCGUACAAUUAUUCCCCGUCUUCUUGAGAGUAGGCGUUAAUCCCGGUCAUGAGUUU
rnacentral:snoRNA from 2 species